UACGUAGGUGGCAAGCGUUGUCCGGAAUUACUGGGCGUAAAGGGCGCGUAGGCGGCCUUCUAAGUCGAACGUGAAAUCCCCGGGCUCAACCCGGGAACUGCGUCCGAUACUGGAAGGCUUGAAUCCGGGAGAGGGAUGCGGAAUUCCGGGUGUAGCGGUGGAAUGCGUAGAGAUCCGGAAGAACACCGGUGGCGAAGGCGGUUAGCUGGGCAGUUGCUGACACUGAGGCGCGACAGCGUGGGGAGCAAACAGG
rnacentral:rRNA from 1 species